rnacentral:lncRNA from 1 species
CCCUGGGUUACUUACUCUUCAAUCAGAAAAUGAGUGUGUUCAAAGGAAAUUGUCCUUUUCACUAUCCCCAAUGGUGAGGCAGCCUCAUUUCAGUACUGUGGAGGAUUUUCUAUGGAGCAACUAUUUCUUCAGAGGGGAGAAGUGGGAAAACAAGAAAACAAAGGAAUCAACAUUUGCUAAGUCCUACUACAUGAUGGGAUCUGCCUGCAAGAAAUGCUUGGUGUGUUGUUAAAGGCAGUCUCAUCAAAAGAGACAGAAUAUUCAAAAUAAACCUUGGAGAUCACCCAGCAUGAAGUUGCCUGAGGAGGUGGUAGUAAACCCUAAACAUUUUAUGAAGGAGGAGACUGAGGUCCAGAGGGGUUCAAUGACUUGCUCAGAGACACAAGCCAAUUACUACAGCCUGUAAGCUGAGUCAGAAGCCCCAGGUGUCCUGACUCCCAAGCCAGCUUUCGCUAGCAUCCACGAGCCAUACACCCUGCGGCACAGUGGAAGGCUGUGAAUUGGCUCUUACAGCUGCCCACCCCUCACCCACCCUCUGAUUCUCUGAAAGCAGAGUACACAGACCCAGUCUGUUUUGGAGUUUCAGAGCUGCAGCCUGCAUAUUUAACACUGGUUUUAUCUAUCAGAAAUGGAGAAUAAAUAGCACUAUAAUAAAACCCAUAAAAUAUACCAACUUGGAUUUUUUUCAGGAUGGCUCCAAGCACAAGUUGGUAAUCAAAAGGUUUUGAGAAAAACUGGAAAUAGUGUUUGCUGUGUUGAAAAUUUCCGGAAUCUUAAGAGCAUCCCUGUUCUCCAUCACCCACCAGCUGAAUACUUUAGGAGGAGAGAUGUGUUACUCUAAGUCACAAGGAAGGAGGACAUUUUCAAAAGGCCUCAUAAAGAAUGCUUCCUCCUCACAUCUUUAUGAGCCAUUCCCACUUUAGAGAAUAAAACUGUUUAGGCUUCAUGUUUUUCCAUAUUCCCAGAGCAGCAGCCGUCAAGGUGGUAGAAGAAAUGGUGGUUGCACUUUCCAGCAAGUAUGGAAGCUGUCAGGAACAGCAAGUGACAGUUGUGUUGGCUACACUUUUGUAGAUAUCUGGGUUUCCAGGGCUACUAAUAAUGAAGCUUCCCUCUUCCUCAAGCAUUUGGCCAGGAUUCAAAUUUGUCACCAGCUAAUUCCCUCUUAAGGGGAAAAAAAAAGUCCAGGAAGCACUGUUUCCCAUUAGUGUAGUCAAGUGAGAAGCAGUACUUAGCAUGAUUUUUCUAUUCAUAUAGUACCUUUAAAUAGAAGCUCCCAUUUCAAGAAGGCCUAAUGAGCAUACACAACUACCUCUUUUCCAACCCAAGUUCCCAGUGACAUAACUAAAAGGAUAUUGGUUAAAGGGUGAAAUCAUAACAAGGAUAUCACAUAAGAAAGAGAGCAAUUCGGGCAUCAGAAAGUUUGAAGAAAUACUGAAAGACAGAAGAAAGAUGAAAUAGAAGGGACAUCACCAUCCAAAACACCAGAAGUAGGAGGUGUUUCUCCCAGGAGAAGCUGGAAACAAGACAAGCAACUUGGUGUCGAUAAACAACAAAAAGCAGAAAUAGGCUCUGAGGCCAUCAGACAAGUUCACUGAAUAAUUCUUUUUAGAUCAACUGAGACAGGAAAGUGUUGACUCCUCUUCAAGGUAUACAGAAUACAAAUAGCAGAACUUUUGUCUACUUGGAGGAAGCUUUACAAAUACUCCUUAACAAAAUGGACAAUUGUCUAAGUGAGGAUCAAUGUGUGGAUGCUUGGGGCAGAGGGAGAAGGAGGGCAAAGGUUCAUGCACUUCCAUACUCCACCUCAAAUCAUAAAGGAAAGGGGGAGGAGGAUGAGGAGGAAAAGCUCGAACAAGAAAAUGAGGAGGGAGGAGGAGGAAGUACAAGAGGAGGAGAGAGCUCUUCUUCAGGUAUCCUUCCCUGGAGCAAGCCCUUUCUGACUUGAGCUGCUGUGGCAGCUGAAGACAAAUGCCUGCUUCACCUCAAAGUGCCCUUCAUGUGACUCACUCACUUACUUUCCCUCCCAUGAGAGGAAGUCCUGCAGGCACACACCAGCCCAACGAAAUAAGAAACCAUAACAGCAAUAUACACUAAUCAAUCUAGCUCUUCAUGCAUUCAUGUGUAUUAACCAAUAACCAGGACUCACUAGACAUUUGAGCAAGAACUAGAGAAAGAAGCUUUAACACAGUGACUAAACCAAAUAGCUGACUCAAGAAGAAAGAAGUAUUUCAAGGUCCAGAGAACACAGAAUGAAAUUUUAAGAAAUCUAAUUAAUAUACCCAGCAGUCACAUAGUUUCAUUUCUAUAAAACAACUCAGGUGUUGAUCCAGAAGACAAAGCAAAAUGGAAAAUGUAGAGGGAAAAGUUAGGUGAUAUGGAGGAUAGAGUCAAGGAGUCCAACAGCUGUUUAAUAAACAUUCCAAAAAUAGAAGACAGAGACAAUGGAUGUCUCUGACCAAAUUUCAAAAUUCCAACGAUAAAGAAAAAAAUCCUAAAAGUUUGCAAACAGAAAAUAUGUAAUCACCUAUAAGAGAAAGAUCAGACAAAAGUCUUGGUGAUUUUAUUUAUCAACCACGAAUACAGCACUUAUUUCAUGCCAGGCCCUUUUCUAGGUAAUUUAAAGAAUACAUGUAUUUAGUGAAGUAAAGUGUCACAUUCAUUCUCAGCAACAAGUCUGGGUACUAGAACACAAUCAAAUAGUGUUUUUAAAGUUGUGAGGAAGUAUUUUUAAUCCUUAAAACCCACCUAUGUUCAAAUCAUUAAGUCAAAUGUGAGCAAAAUAAGGCAUUUUUUGGUCAUGUAGAAUUUGGAAAACUUAUGUUUCAUGUAGAAAAAAAAAAAAGAUGCUAGAAGCUAAUGCAACAAAAUUAAAAAGAGAUAUAAAAAUACAAUAUAAGAUAUAAGACUGUGGUGGC